AAUCGUAAGCGAUUGGAGUGAUGGGAGGUUGACGACCACUUCUGGCAGUAAUGUCAGAUUAGAGCAAUCUCCAAUUGUAAGCUUCUGAAGUGAUGUAAGAUUGGCGAUCCCUUCUAACAUUGAUGUCAAAUUGGAGCAAUUUCUAACUGUAAGCUCCCGAAAGGAUGCGAGGUUGCCCAUCCCAUGAUAUGGUAGUAAUGCCAAAUUUGGGCAACUGGCAAUGUAAAGCGAUUGGAGUGAUGGGACGUUGCCCAUUCCUUGAGACGUUAUACAUUCCAAAUCCUCAAUUUUAACUAGUGACAGAUGUGUUAAUUUGGAGAGAUGAGCGGAAGAAGAAGAGGCAGAGACAACAACACCAACAUCAUGUGUAAUAUCAGAUGCUCCUCUACCAAACAAGGAAUCAACAACCUUCCAGCUGCUCUUAUAGAGAGAUAUUGUCUCCACAUUUGGAUAUAGAGGCAUGGAAGUUAGAUUAGGACAAUCCCAGAUCCAAAAUGUAGAAAGACAGGGAAAAGAAGGCAACGACAGAUUUUCCGUUGAUGAAGGAGAAGAAGCACUGUUAUGAGUGUGCGCCCUCCACCAUCCCUUCAGAACAGGGCAAUUUACAACCCUGAGGAACUCCAGGGACGUCAUCAUCUCAUCACUCAUACUAUUACUGCUGCUGGUAUUGUCUGAUAUGUACUUCAAUUUCUCAAACCCUUCAAGUUGAAGAGACUUAAGGGAUGGGAAAUGAUCCAAGGGUGGAAGAUGUUGACAUCUAUGACACCCAGUCAAUCUGAGAUCAACAAGAUUUAUGAGAGAAGAAAACCAACUCGCAAACCUCACACCACCAUAAUAAUACACGAACAACUUCUUUAGAUUUGAACGGGGUUGCAAUACUUCCAUUGACAAUAUAAUAUCCUUCUCAUCACCGCCUUAAGUAGAAUAUGACGUUGUCAACAAAUUAAUGAAAUAAACGCAAUUAGCCAUAUAUCUUUUUUAUUUUUUUAGAAAAAAUAACUAAAAGUUAAAAAAACCUUCGUAAAAAGUCAUUUUUAAAAGUAUAAUAAAUAAUACAAAAAAAAAAUUUAAAUAUGAUUUUUUAAAAAAAGUAAAUUAUACCGAAAAUAUUUUGUUAAACCUCUUUUUUUUUUUCGUCAAAUUAGCCAUCUAUCUUUUAUACAUUAAGGCGGUGGCCCAGUUUGGGGUCACGGGCUUGGACAAAAAUAAUAGGACGAAAAUGCCUCUCAGCCAAAAAAAUUCAAAACAUCAAAAAAGAAUGCAUAAAAUAAUCGAAGGAUAAUUAUGUAAAUUUACUUUUUAAUAAAAUAAUGCCCUGCUUCUUCUACAAUCUUCCACACCGUUCCAUUUUCUCAGUAGGCACCGAUCAGUCGAACACCGUCCAGGAAUGCGUCUCCGAAUUCAUUAGCUUCGUCACCAGCGAGUAAUUUUCACCUCUCUCUCUCUCUCUCUCUAUCUCUCUUUCUCUCUCUACUGUUAUUUACUUUUCCUUUCAAUCGGACUUUUUUGUAUUGAUUUUGAAUUGGGAUUUUUUGGGGUGUCUAGGGCCAGCGAUAAGUGCCAGAAGGAGAAGCGAAAGACCAUCAACAGCAACGAUUUGUUGUGGGCGAUGGCCACGUUAGGGUUUGAGGACUAUAUCUGCAUAUAAUUAGUAUAUAGGAUCUUUUUUUUUUUAUCGAAAGUUUUUUUUUCACCUUUUGGUUUAGGCUUCUCUAAGAUAUCGAAGCUAUAUUUAAUGAUUUCAUGUUUUAUUUAAUUGUGUUACAUCUUAAUUUGAUGGUGUUUACAGAAGGAUACAUGUAGAUGUAGCAAUUGUUUUGUAAGAGCCAAAGAAAAUGUACAUCGGCUUGGGUUAGCAGUUGCUAUUUCAUCCCACAGAUGGAGACGCUAUUGAUAUUGAGUAAUCUUCAAAGAAAGUCACCUCUUCAGAGAAGCAAUAUGGCAGCAUUCGUUAAGCACUUUCCAAGGUACGGACUUCACCAAUCCUAGGUUUUAGUUUGUUUCUAAUUUAUUGAGUUUUUAGGGGCAUAUUAUGUAAUUAAAGGGGAAGGAGGGGUCCAAUUUGGUUUCGAAAUCUUGAAUCUGAUCAAAUGAAAGAAUCAAAAUUCAAAGAUAAUAUGCCACCAAUCAUAGGACUCUGACUUCCAACUCUGCUGCUGCACUGAAGGAUCAUACUUUUCUUCAUACAUUGGAAACAUUUUUUGUUUUUUUUGGUUUUUUUUACUGAUAUUAGUAGCUUUUUAGGGUUGAACUAUUUGAUUUCACAGAUUCAUUACAGACACAUUACAUAGUUACAUUUUAAAUUCGUAUUUCAUAACUUGGUUGCUUGAUUCUAAUGUCGAUUCGUUACAACAGAAGUGAACUUUUUCUACUUUAAGCAGGAAUUUUUGCUUUUGUUUUUAUUGUUGUUGCCUUGAUUGUGGUUAUCUGACGGAUUAAUACUCCAUCAUAUAUUGAGCAAUAUCGUGCGGCUCAAAGAAUUUCGUUAUGUGUUUACGCGUAUUUUGUACUCUGAAUAAUUGUAAUCAAAUUCCAUUGCUCCUAAGCUAAGGUCAGAAUUUGUAGCAUAUAAGGGAAGGUUAGCAGAUACUUACCAAUUAUCCAAAGCUGGAUAUUAAGGUCUUUAACAUUAAUAUCUUUUUGUAUGUGUAGCAUCUGCUUGGAAAAGGUUUCAACUUUAUUUUUUAUUUGUUGGAUUGAUCAAUUGAUGUAUUUUAUGAAAGUUGAUCUGCAAGAUGUUAAGAUGAUUUCUUUGUUUAUGUAUACUGUUUAAUUAUAUCAAUGGAAAUUGGUGCUGCCAUUGUGGCAGUAGAUGAAUUUCUGGCUUUUGAGAUGAAGUACUAAAAAAUUUUGAUUUCUUUUUUCUUUACAUGCUUUUCUUUUAAUUUUGCUGGAAUUCUCACGUUGCUUUGAUUAAGUUAUACAUGGCCAUGAUAAGGUAUUGCCCGUCCCCACAAACAUUUUGUACAUGUGUGGCAUUAAUAUAUUUUGUUUUCUGAUUGAAUUUGUUUUCAUUCAAUGGGGUUGGUGAGCUAAAUAGCAAGUGGAUUUUUAAUCGUGUUUAAAUUGAAGUCCUAAUUUCGUUGGUUUUGUUCAUAAUUAGUGUGUUAUGUUGUUUUCCUGUGUGUUUUAUGCGUUUGUUAAUUUAUGGGAGUCUUCACAAGAAAUGUUGUGUUCAAAAAUAUUUUUCUUCCAUCAAAUGUAUGAUAACUUUACAUUCAUUCUUUUAAUGUUUAAUUCACUUUUCAAAUCCUUGUAGAUAAAUACAUUUAAAUUGUAUAAGUCGCGCGUCGAAUGCCGUAAUUAUAAAAGGGCCUUCCGCACGCGCUAAUCGACAUAGGGGCUUUGAACCAAAAAAAAAAAAAUCGACAUAGGGGCGCAAAAAGGCACGAGAUCAAACAUUAAACAUCUAAAAACGUCUGUUGCUUCACGAUAAUACCUUUGUUACCUUUGUUACAAUGUGGCUGCAAACCGAGAGAUUUGGACCAUUCAAAAGAGAGUGAGAUAUGAGUCGUCCAAGUUUUAGGUUUUUAUGAGGUGGAUCACUGAAAUGUAAGGACUAAAUUAAAAUUGAAUUGUCCGAAUCUCUUAAUUGACAAACAUCGAACACAAAGAUAACGAGUGGAUCUCUAUCCCCAAAUUAUAGUCGUUGGUUGGUUCCUUUUCCUUUUUGCUACUUUUGUGUUCCCACAUGGUAUUUGGUUAUAGUUAAUUUACAUUACUGGUAUCACCACAUUUUAAUUCUACAACUGGAAACAAAAGCAACCCAAAGAAAACCAAACUACAAGGCCAGACCUGAGUAUUUUGGUGCUCGAGGCGAACACUCAAAAUGUGUCUUUUAAUACACCAACAUAUAAUAAAAAAAAUUAAUAUUUAAAGAGGGCUGGAACUCAGUCGAAGCUGGGGGGCUAGGCCCUCACGCCCGUAUUAUAUUACUUGAUCAAAAACAUACAACGGGGGGACAUAGUAUCCAAACCCGUUAAUCAAAAGCAAAUUCAUAUACAACCACUCCGAGCAGUCAACAUGGCCAUCACAUAUUGAAUCCAAAAAGUUGAUGCCCCAUUCACCACACAUAAUGUAACAGAAGAUAUCAAAAUUACUACUACUAAAAUCUCAUAACAUUGAGUAAAAAGAAUCAUCUGAAAAGAUGAACAGAUCAUCAAUUCUAUUAGAGAAGCCAAUCAUGCGGUAUACUUUGAAGAAGAUGAGGAAUACCUGAUCAACAUAAAAGACCAGGCAGAUUCAACCAGUUCUGCUAUGUCCGGCUGGGUGAGAGCAGCUAAAGACAUGAUUGUUCCCUAAUAACAUGAAUAAAUUGAGUAAACACCAAAAGUAUAGCAGCAAGGAAAGGAGAUGUGAAGUAGAUGAAGAGGUGCAAAACCUGUGAAUGUCCAACAGCAAGGACUUUGGAGCUUAUUGUCGAUAUAUGCAGCGCAUCAUUUCUGUCUCUUCUGAUAAAGAUGUGUGUCCAUCUAAACGCUUGAACCGUCUUUGGUUUCAGCACCUGAAAAAGACAAGGGAAAUUAAAGAGAAAUUAAAAAAAUUGAAGUAAUCACCACGGGUGGUUCAGUGUUUGGGAACAAAUUCCAAAUUCGUAUUUCACAUGGCAAGUCUUGGGUUUAAUUUUUAGCAUUAGUGAAUCACACGAUUGUGACCAGAAAGAGGCUAAAAUGCAGCCUCCAAAAGAGUACACUGCCGUGUCGAAGUUACUAGUUGGUCCCUUUUAAAAAAAAUAAUAAUAAUUGAAGUUAGUGGGUAAAGAAUGCAUACUGCUUUGCAUUGGAUUCGGUGUUGCUCAACUAGAAAGUAAAAGUGAGGACAAAAUCAUUGAGUAUAUGGUAUGUCAUCUGAAAGAAAAAUAAAAUGUUGGUGAUGAAUGAAGAAUGAAGAAUAAAAUUAAGAAACGAGAAUGACAUUUGAAUAUUUUAUAUUUUAUACUGAACAAGGCAAGUGCAAAUUGAAACAAGUUAGAAAACAUACCUUACAAAUUAUGAAUAGAAAUGGAUGGGAUGUGAGCAAUCUUAGGCCAGUCCUCCCCUGUUUCCUUCUCGCAUCUUUCGCUUAACACGGGGCAUCUCCAAAUUCCCAAUGUAUUUAAGUUGGGGAGUCGACGAAUCCCUUCUGGCAGUGAUGCCAAAUUAGGGCAACUUUGAAUUUCAAGGUUCUGCAGUAACGUGAGAUUGCUUAUUUCUUCCGGUAGUGAUACCAAAUUUGGGAAAGAUACAAUCGUAAGCGAUUGGAGUGAUGGGAGGUUGACGACCACUUCUGGCGGUAAUGUCAGAUCAGAGUAUUCUCCAAUUGCAAGCUUCUGAAGUGAUGUAAGAUUGGCGAUCCCUUCUAACAUUGAUGUCAAAUUGGAGCAAUUUGUAACUGUAAGCUCCCGAAAGGAUGCGAGGUUGCCCAUCCCAUGAUAUGGUAGUAAUGCCAAAUUUGGGCAAUCUUUAAUGUCAAGCGAUUGGAGUGAUGGGACGUUGCCCAUUCCUAGUGACGUUACACAUUCCAAAUCCUCAAUAUUACUGAGUGACAGAUGUGUUAAUUUGA
rnacentral:lncRNA from 1 species